rnacentral:misc_RNA from 1 species
UCGUGGGGCUCUGGCCCCGUCGAGAAAAUCACCCUUGCCUUUUUCGAGCACCGUUCUGUUUCCUCGGCAGGCCCGCCUGCCAACGGGGACACAACCAAACCCUCUUGUGUACCUGCAACCGUCUGAGAAGCGAUUAAAACAAUCA